UUUUACAGUUGAUUAAUUGAUUAAAUAAUUUUUAGGUGAGAGAGUUGGAAACUGAACGACUGAACAAAUGGCUGAAAAUGUUAAAAAAUUGGGAAAAAUAUCGACCUGGAGAAAAGUUAAAAAGAAGAAUAUAUAAGGGAAUACCAAAUGCAGUUAGAGGUGAAGUUUGGUCAAGAUUAUUGGAAGUUACUGAAAUUAGAGAUAAACAUAAAGAUAAAUAUCAAAAUAUGCGUGAGCAUGCUCGAAAAUGGUCUCCAGACGUCAGACA